UAGCUUGUUCUAACACAAAUCCACAUUCAUAGCUUAGAGAAGGUAUUUUUUGUUAGGGUGUACAUGAUGUUCUUCUGAUUUUCUUCUUGCCCAGGCUUGUGUCAGUCCUGCCAGCUGCCUAACUCAUGAAUGUGUCCGUGAUGGGGUAUGACUAUAAUCCUUCUUUAAAGUGUUAGGAACAUUGCCAGAAGGCAAGAAAUGGAAUGAAAAUAAAAGGGAAUUGAAUCACUGACACGCUGCUAUAAAUUAGACGUUUACUCUGUUCCCACUCAGUGGCUACCGUCUGGGUUCAGCACACAAAUUUAAGCUAAAUUAACCCAAUUUACAUGCUGUGUUAGUCACCAGUUUGGCAGUAUGAUGCUCACUACAUAUCCCCCCAUUAUUCACAGUUUGCCUCAACUCCCUUUGUUGUUAUCAGUGAGUUGCAAUAUAAUCCUGCCCAUAGAGAAGCCUCUGCCAAAACAAAUGUGUGAUGGGAAAGAUUUUAUCAUGGAUCUGGCAGUACCUGGAAUCCACGUUGCUGGUGGAAUGUUUAUGGGAUGAUUUAAGCCUCCCUCUUUUUGCAGGCACAGGCCCUUCUUCGUGGCAUGAGAGUCACUAGUACUGCAGUCAAACGAGGAAACCGACCCAAAAAAACAUAUCCGCUAGCAAGUGUGUGUGCCAAGCAAAUGGACUAAUCUAUUACCCUCAGAUGUUCUCAGUGAUUAUCACUCUGGUAUCACACAGAAAGAGGUGCCUGCUUGCUCGGCAGGACUCCCUGCUGGAAUAUACACUGCUGUAUCUGGUUUCUGUGAUAUAGUGAGUUUCAGACGAAACGCUGGAGGAGACAGUCCGGAGAGAAGUGGCAGAGGAAGUGGGGCUGGAGGAGACAGUCCGGAGAGAAGUGGCAGAGGAAGUGGGGCUGGAGGAGACAGUCCGGAGAGAAGUGGCAGAGGAAGUGGGGCUGGAGGAGACAGUCCGGAGAGACGUGGCAGAGGAAGUGGGGCUGGAGGAGACAGUCCGGAGAGAAGUGGCAGAGGAAGUGGGGCUGGAGGAGACAGUCUGGAGAGAAGUGGCAGAGGAAGUGGGGCUGGAGGAGACAGUUCGGAGAGAAGUGGCAGAGGAAGUGGGGCUGGAAGUUUAGUAGAUCAGAUAUUCUGCAUCUCAACACUGGCCAUUUUCCUAAAAGCUCACUGGUGGCAUGCCACGCCACUGUGGGACAGGAAGAGGUACUGCAUUUUAUAAGCAAAUCUUUUAGGACUACUGCUUUUCAUAAAGGAAUAUCUUGACUAGAGCAGUACUAUCACAAACAAAAUGUUGGCUGUUUUGAAAACAGAAACCAGUAGUGUAUGUAAAAUUACAACAUUUAUGACUUCCUGCUUACUGUCAUUAAAAUAAUAACAAAUACCCAAGGUUAAAACCAGUUUAAUUCACUGGUCUUGGAUUCCUGAACAGCCCCAGAGUGUCAAAACACCAUAUAGCAUUAACACUGUCGGGAACUGGAGUUGUUUUUGCAAUGACAUGAUCCAUUUACUUACUCUACUUAUUUAUUGGAUAUACCUUAUUUUGUGUGUGAACUUCAUGUAUUUGUUACACUAAGCAGGGUAUUGGACUGUGAAAUGCCUGCCUUACUACUCCGGAAGGAUUUUCCAACCCAUACUAAACAUGAAACAUAAAGUAAAAUACAGAAAACUCUCAAUUCCUAGAACUUUUGUUACUAUUUUUUUUUAUUCUAGACAAUUUUUGGGUUGGGAGAGUGCAGCUCUAUUUUUCAAGGGCAGUAAAGUAGUGAAUAUUUUGACAUCUACCCCUUGCUGCAAUGUCUUAUUAGCAGCAGAACUUGAGACGCGAGCAUUCCUUUAGAAUCACUGCAAUUCCAGCUGUAACAAAGCAGCGGGCUAUGUGGAGGGAGUCCUUCAUUCUCUCUGGGUACCUUCAACAGAAAUAUAAUAAUUAUAUAGACUGGACUAAUUCUGCGGCUAACAUCAAAAAUAAUCAAUGUGCUUAAGCCUAUGUAUUUUAAGUUUAGGCUGUUUAAUUACUCCCUGACAUCUGGAUCAAUUAGAAUCAUAGGAAACCUGAAAUUAUAGAAAAAAAAUGCUCUAGGUUGAAUUUGCUUUGCGAUGCUGAAUUUGGCACUCUGUGUAGUAAAGAUCCCAAAGCUGUGCUUUGUAGCUUUUAAGUUUCAGCUACAGUCUUAAAAAGGGAGGGAGUAAUAAAAAGAUUUACCAACUGAUUUUUCUCUGCACAGCUUUAGUUAUUCGCCCUGAUGCCAAGAAUCCCUCUGGGUGUGCAGACAGCAGCGCCAAGGCUUGGGAUAUUGCUUAUGUUGUUUACUAGAUCAUGCAGAUCUCCUUCAUCCUGACACACAGGCAGAAUACGUAGCUUCACAUGAUAAAGAAAAAUACCUGCCAUAUAAUGGUUAUUACAACAGGUUUGAGUAAAUGGUUAAUUCUUUUAUUGCUGACUUAUUCAUGGCCCUGGUGAAAAUAUCUCUGGCUACAACCCAUGUUGUUGGCUUCUUAUGAGGUUUAUGUCGCUUAUAAUGUUACUGUACCAGAGUAUUUAAGCGGAUACCCUCAUUAAUAUGAGGCCUGUGGGGUAAUGGGAAGAGAAACAUUACAUAAGCCUUAAACUAACUGCAUUUUUUCCAUGGUAGAGAAAACGCAUUGUGCAUUGUUAAGGGAUUUUGUCUAUCAAAGCAUUUUAGGAGGAUAUAAGGAAAGGUGUGGCCAAAUGAAAGUGAACUGUAAAAGUCACACCAUUGUGGAUGUAGGAAGUACUGAUAUACUCAACUUUAAUUGUUGGAUCAAUAUUACAUUGUUGUUGUUGGUUAACAGUGCAGGGUCCCCUCCAGUAUACAACCACUAAGUUAUUUUUUAGGGGGGAAUGUGUUUUAAAUAUGCCUAAUAAAUUGUGUAUUUUUUAAUCAAGUAUACUUGUGGUUGAAUUUCUAAUGGAUUUCUUAAGAAAGUACUACCGGUAAGUGCGAAAUGUGUAGAAGUUUGCUCUGCACAAGUUCCGCUGGAAGAUUAGGCGUGGUGUCACAGGACGCAAAGUUUACGCAGCGUGAGAUCAAACCACACACAGCAGUUACAUUUUAAUUUAUAUACCCCAGCCAGGAGCAAGAUUUCUUUAUAUAGGUGAAUUGUUUUAUCUACAGGAGGUUUUCUUAGUGCUAUUUUAAACUGCAAACUGCAGUAAAUGAUUUAUUAGGGGAUUUCUGAGUGACCCUAUAUAGAUAUAAAAAGUGUUUUAUGCCACUAAGUUCUAUGUUUAGGAAAUCCAAAUCAUAAAAGCUUUGGUUGUGCAAGUGUUUUUAUUAUUU